rnacentral:piRNA from 1 species
UCCUUUGCCUUCCACUAUAAUAUUUCCUGG